rnacentral:rRNA from 1 species
AUUGAACGCUAGCGGGAGGCUUAACACAUGCAAGUCGAACGAGAGGCGGACGGGAGGGUAAUAUAUCGGAACGUGCCCAGUAGCGGGGGAUAAGUACGCGAAAGAGUGACUAAUAACGCACACUAGUGGAGCGGCCGAUAUCGGAUUAGCUAGUUGGUGGGGUAAAGGCUGACCAAGGCAACGAUCCGUAGCUGGUUUGAGAGGAUGACCAGUCACACUGGGACUGAGACACGGCCCAGACUCCUACGGGAGGCAGCAGUGGGGAAUUUUGGACAAUGGGCGAAACCCUGAUCCAGCCAUCCCGCGUGUAUGAGAAGGCCUUCGGAUUGUAAAGCACUUUUAGCUGAGAAGCGUUACCUACAGAAUAAGCACCGGCUAACUACGUGCCAGCAGCCGCGGUAAUAC